CUGGGUAUCACACAUAACCCACAUUCUUAGCUGUUUGCAUGUCGGAUUUCAUUUGCAGACCAUAUCCAGUUUUCAAACUGCACUUUCUUUCUUUUUCUGUUACAGAAGUGGAGGCAACUGCGGCCAAAUCCCAGUGCUCCAUGGCUGGUGGAGGGGGACCCUGAUCAGGAAAGAAGCUUUUUCUUGCCUUGCUCUGUUCCCACAGAAGGGUUGGAAGAAGAGGGGGAGAGAGCACAGGAGCACAGCACACCCAGUCAUGUAGGCACACACCAUCCCUUUGUGAUGGGUGUCCUUUUCUGCUGCUCCAUGUGUGCCCAUAGGGCUGGGCAGAGGGCCAGCAGGACUGUGACCACACCAUGUCCACACUGUGAUACCUUCUUCUUACAUUCUCUUGUGCAUGUGUGGCAGCCUGUGCUGCACAGUAAAGCUGGAAGAGAAGGCAAAAUAAGGUUACAUCAAGCACCUGAAACUUCCCAGGGAAUUCACAGCGAGAAGUAUCUAUUUGGAGACAAUAACAACUUGUUCUUCAGUGCAGUUUCAAGGAAUGUCAGGACAGUUUUUCAGCAGAAUGGAGGGUGAGAAUACAUUGGUUGAUCUUCCUGGAAGGAUGGGAG
rnacentral:lncRNA from 1 species